GCUGUGGUCACCUGAUGUCCCUUGGGUGUAGUUUUCUGAGAUACUGUCAUUUGUGGUUGGUAUACCACAAACCAUCGAAGCUUCCUGUAGGUGCUUCCGGAUGUGGUGGUGUUGGAUUAAGUCAUAGUUACAGUCUGCACACUGCAGUUAGUGCAGCACAAGGUGAUCUGCGUUCACCAUGGGCCACAAUCUCUUCUUCUUGGACAUUUCUCCCUCUGGGUUCAGACUUCUUUGGUUCUCCUCCAACCCCAGGUGCUGGGGAUCUGCCACCAUUGUGGUCACCACAGGAGUGUUAGUAGCUGCAUCUCUCUGGCUGGGCUGGACAAGAAUGAGGGACCUGAGAUUAUCCCAUGGUCAGGAACUACUGGGGCUCCAAGAGGAUGAUCCAUGCCAAGGGCACGGCAGCCCUCCUGAUGAACACAGAGAUUAAGUCAUCCCCACAGGUUCCCUAGCAUCUCUGGACAACAGUGUCAGAGGCUACUAACUGCUGGGAUCAAACAGGGGUGCAGUGAUUGAAAGCAAGACCAUGGGUAGACCAGAUGGCCUUCACACACUUAAGGCUCAGAUGUAGGAAACAGGUUGUUUGUUUUAUUUAUUUUUUGUGGAGUGUGGGAGGGCUCAAAACAGGGCUUCUCUGUGUAGCACUGGCUGUGCUGGAACUCCCUGUGUAGACCAGGAUGUUCUUGAACUCACAGAAUGACCUGUCUGUACCUCUUGAGUGCUGGGAUUAAAAAUAUGUGUCACCAUGGCUGGCUAGGAAACACUCAUUUUAUCAUAGUCAUUGUCCAAUACUACAUGUUCAGAGAAUACUGAAUAAAU
rnacentral:lncRNA from 1 species